rnacentral:rRNA from 1 species
AGCAAAUUCAUCCAUCUUCCACUAGUAGUACCACUCUGUCUCCUCACUAGUACGUGAGUGUGUGUGUUUACUAGUGCUCGUACUAGUGUUCUUCGGCCAGAUAUCCUGCUCAUUUCUUUAGUCUGGUACUAGCUAGUCCAUAGUUUUUGGGCUAACAAUUGGCAUCAGAGCCUUAGGUUAUGCCGAAGUAUAUGCCGAAAGAAGGCGUCGCCGGCGACGGCUCCAAGACCGCCGGGCAGAGCUCGGCUGAGGAGGCGCGUGUGGCGGACACGCUUGCACUACGAGGCAGGCUAGGAGGGGAGUUGGGUGCGCCACGCUCCGUGCGAGACGUGGGCAUGUCCAGCACCUCCUUCCCUCUCCUCACGCGGACCAACUACCCAGUUGGUCGGUCAUGAUGAAAGUCAUCAUGGAGGCGCGGCAUAUGUGGAAAGCCGUGGAAACCAAUGAUGUCGAGUACGAGGAGGACCAGUUGGCGAUGGAGGCAAUCUUGCGCUUCGUCCCAGCAGAGAUGGUGCUCACCCUUGGCGCCAAGGAGACGAUCAAGGAAGCAUGGGACACCAUCAAGACUCUGCGCAUCAGCGUGGAGCGCGUACGGGAGUCAAAGGCCCAGACCUUGCGCCUCCAGUACGAGGAGAUCCGGUUCAAGGCCGGUGAACAAGUCGACGACUUCGCCUUACGGCUACAAGGUCUUGUCACCGAGCUUGCAACGCUCGGGGAUCCCAUCGACAAUAAGAUGGUGAUUCUCAUGUUUCUCCGCAUCGUCCCCAGGCAGUACAAGCAACUGGCCUGGUCCAUCGAGAGUUUGGUGGAUCUCUCCACCAUGACGAUCAAGGAGCUGGUAGGGCGGCUGAAGGUCGUCGAGGAGCGCGGUGACGAAGCCGACAACCGUGCUGGCGGUGAACUACUGCUCACCAGGGAGCAGUGGGACGCGCAGCUUCAGCAGCGCGGUAGCGACGGCUCUUCCGGCAGUGGGGGAGGCGCCCCCACGGGAAGUAGCGGUCGCGACAGAGGCGGAGGCCACGCCCAGAGUGGCGGCGGCAACCGUGGUCGCAAGACAAACCACGCAGGGCGAGGCACUGGCAACGGUGGCAAGUGCCGCUACUACAACAUGCCGGGUCACUGGAUCCGGGAUUGCCGCAGGAGGAAAGCCGACGAGGCAGCCGCGGCGACGGCAAACCUCGUCCAGGCUGACGUGGACGGCGGGCCAGCAAUGAUACUGGCAAGAGUCGAGCCCGUGCAGGAGAGCUCAGUGUCUCUCGCGACCACGGCUCCGACAUCCACCCAUUUCGUGCAAAAGGCAUGGAGCGGGUCCACGGGAACCAUCACUCCAGUGACAGGCCACACCUCGACAACGAUGUUCUCGGGGCAUGUCGACUGGGAGGCGAUGAAGGCUCGGGUGUGGGGGAGCCACACCCCGGCGACGGCGUCCCCGACAACCUCUGGACCCGACGAGGCCGCGCAAGUUGGCGCGGCAAUGACGCAUAUGGCGGACCAUGCUCCGACCAUGAUGUUGGCGACCAUCGACUCCAUGCAGGAGCGCACGGACAAUCAGGUCAGCCACACCCCGACAACAAAGUGUUCGGGGUCCACCGUGUUGACGGGAGAUGGCUCCCUGACAAUAGUGUGUGCGUGUGGCUACGUCUUCCUCAACAAGGAGAGAGCCGUGACCACACCCACGCCAGGCGGCAAGCAAAGUGAGGGUUGGUUCCUUGACAUCGGCGCCAUGAACCACAUGACUGGUUCGGUCGACGCAUUCGCGGAGCUGGACCGUGCAAUCACCGGGAAGGUGUGGUUUGCCGACGGAUCCAUGGUGGAGAUCCACGGGCGCGGGACCAUCGUUUUCACCGACAAAGGGGGUGAUCACAGGGCGUUUACGGACGUCUACUUCAUCCCGACGCUCAAGAGCAGUGUCGUGAGUGUCGGACAGCUCAACGAGGGCUGGUUCGACAUCGGCAUCUGCCAUGGUGUUCUCACCAUGCGCGACCAGCAGAAGAGGCUGCCAUGGUGUUCUCACCAUGCGUGGGCCAUGUCUCCGACGCGUGGCAUUGGCAUGCCUGGCUAGGACACCAGCACUUCGACGGGUUGCGGAAGAUGGCGCGAGGCAACCUCGUUCAUGGGCUACCUCACAUCAAGCAUGCCGACGAGCUGUGUGAUGCGUGUCUUGCCGGGAAGCAGCGACGCCUGCCCUUUCCCGAGAAGGCACACUAUCGGGCACAGUAACCCCUGGAGCUUGUCCAUGGGGACCUCUGUGGCCCAAUCACCCCAGCAACGCCAGGAGGGCGUCGCUACAUCCUUCUGCUCGUCGGUGACUACAACAGGUUCAUGUGGGUAGUGCUCCUCGCCUCCAAGGACGAGGCGGAGCGAGCCAUCGUCAAGCAGCAAGCGACAGCAAAGGUCGAGUGCGGCCACAAGCUAUGCGCGUUGCGCACGGACCGUGGUGGCGAGUUCACGUCAGCCAUGUUCUACAAGCACUGCACCGAGAAAGGGGUGCAGCAUCACCUCACAGCCCCUUACUGCAGCAAAACAACGUCGUCGAGCGGAGGAACUAGGCGGUGCUCGGGAUGGCAUGCUGCAUGCUCAAGGCAAAGCAGGUGGCGAGCACAUAUUGGGGGGAGGCCGUCCUCACUGUCGUCUUCAUCCUCAACCGCUCCUUCACAAGGAGAGUCGACGGCAAGACGCCUUACGAGGCGUGGCAUGGGAGGAAGCCUGAUGAACGCUUCCUCCGCACCCUUGCCUGCGUCGGGCACGUCAAGAUGACGCGCCCAUAGCUUAAGAAGCUCGACGACAGGAGCACCCCAAUGGUGUUCAUGGGCUACGAGACGGGCUCUAAGGUGUACAAGAUGUACAACCCCAUCUCAAAGUGUGUGCAUGUCUCACGCGAUGUCAUCUUCGAUGAAGACGCGCGAUGGACUUGGGAGGCGUCGGGGGAGGCCCCGGCAAGCAGCUCCUUCACCGUGGAGUACCGAAUGUACUCUAGGACCCCGGGAAGCAAGACCCCGGGAAGUGCCACCCCGGGAAGCCCGGGAGGUGUGGAUCCGGGAAUUGCAACCCCGAGAACACCGUCCCCGGGUACGGUGUCCCCGGACACCCCGACGUCAAGCAAGGUGGGUCCCGGGAGGCAGUUCACAACCCCACCAACAGCAAGGUCGGAGCUGUUCGACGCCGACGACAGCGUUGGCACCCCCCACAGGUUUCGGCGCAUGGGGGAUCUCCUCGGCGAGGCUGCGGCAACACCGCAGCAGCCCGAGGAAGAGGACGUUGAUGAUGAGACGUCUUGCAUCUAAUGGCCGGCGAGGAGCCAACAACGUUCAUAGAGGACGGGCAAGAGGACUGCUGGCACCACGUGAUGCUGGACGAGCUGGCGUCGAUCAACGAUAACGCCACUUGGACACUCACCACACUGCCUGCUGGGCACCGAGCCAUGUAGAGGUGCUCGGGGUCGUCGAACGGGCUCAGGGAAGAUCGUUGACAGCAAAUUUAGGCGGAGACGCUCUCACCCGAGGAAGAAGAAGAGGAAGACGGCGUCGACAUCUUGGUGUCCAACAACAAUGUAGAGGACGUAGGGGACGAAGAUGAACUUGGUGAAGCUCCUAGGCAUGCUCUCUUCACCGGCGCUCGUCGGAGGGUGCGCCAGCGACUUGCUCUCGUCCUCGGCCCCGCUCAGGUAAGGUGGACAGAGGAAGAAAAGGGGAAAGGGGAGGAUCCCUGGGUGGAGGCGCGGAAGAGAAACCCUAGGGGAAAGGCUCAGACGACGAGUAGGUUUAAAUAGGGACUCAGAGGGUCGACGUGGAGCUCUCUGCCCGCGGCGGCCAUGUGGUGUGUGUGCUCGGUUUUUCACUGUGAGAAGAAGAAGAAUAGUGCCAGGAAAAAUGCUACGGUGAAAAGGACUUGGGCUGGGCUGGCGCGGUGAAAAUGAGAGGGAGAGGUAGGAAAAAAAUAGCUGGGCCACUGGAAAAUCUCUCUCCCUUUUGUCUUCCUUUUUCCAUUUUUCCAGAACAAAAAAUAUCCGGAAGAAAAGAAUAGAAGGGUAGGAAUGUAAUUUGAUAGAGAUGGAAAUAUCUAUGGAGUCCUGGAAAUAUACAAAUAUGGAAUAAAAUACUUUGGCAAUUUUAGAGGCAAUAAAUUCAACCUUGAAUAAAUCCUGAGCCCAACCAAAACACUUCCAAAAGACUUGAAACUGGAGGAGGUGGUCUUGGCAUGGUUUAAGAUUUACAGAAAAUAAGUGAACAUUUUUCUAGGACAGGAAAAUGCCACUAGCAAGAAAUGUGUGAGAAUUGAAAGGAAGAAGCUAGUGAUGGGGUGUUGCACUUGAUGAUGGUUUAGAUGGAAGGGCAAGAUGGGAUAGGAAAGAAGAUGGGGAGAAGGAGUUCACAAAUAUAACAAGCACAUAA